ACGGUAACAGCGGGAGCUUGCUCCCGGCUGACGAGUGGCGGACGGGUGAGUAACGCGCUAGGAAUCUGCCCAGUAGUGGGGGACAACCCGGGGAAACUCGGGCUAAUACCGCAUACGCCCUACGGGGGAAAGAUGGCCUCUCCUUGGAAGCUGUCACUAUUGGAUGAGCCUGCGUCGGAUUAGCUAGUUGGUAGGGUAAAAGCCUACCAAGGCGACGAUCCGUAGCUGGUCUGAGAGGACGACCAGCCACACUGGGACUGAGACACGGCCCAGACUCCUACGGGAGGCAGCAGUGGGGAAUAUUGCACAAUGGGGGCAACCCUGAUGCAGCAAUGCCGCGUGUGUGAAGAAGGCCUGCGGGUUGUAAAGCACUUUCAAUGGGGAAGAAAAGGUGAGGGUGAAUAGCCCUUGCUCUUGACGUUACCUUUAGAAGAAGCACCGGCUAACUCCGUGCCAGCAGCCGCGGUAAUACGGAGGGUGCGAGCGUUAAUCGGAAUUACUGGGCGUAAAGCGCGCGUAGGCGGUUUGUUAAGUCAGAUGUGAAAGCCCUGGGCUCAACCUGGGAACUGCAUUUGAUACUGUCGGACUGGAGUAUGGUAGAGGGAAGUGGAAUUCCGGGUGUAGCGGUGAAAUGCGUA
rnacentral:rRNA from 1 species